UACGUAGGUGGCAAGCGUUGUCCGGAUUUACUGGGUGUAAAGGGCGUGCAGCCGGGCUGACAAGUCAGAUGUGAAAUCCCGCGGCUCAACCGCGGAACUGCAUUUGAAACUGUCAGUCUUGAGUACCGGAGAGGUCAUCGGAAUUCCUUGUGUAGCGGUGAAAUGCGUAGACAUAAGGAAGAACACCAGUGGCGAAGGCGGAUGACUGGACGGCAACUGACGGUGAGGCGCGAAAGCGUGGGGAGCAAACAGG
rnacentral:rRNA from 1 species